rnacentral:rRNA from 1 species
CAGCCGCCGCGGGAAUACCAGCAGCCCAAGUGGUGGUCGCGUUUAUUGGGCCUAAAGCGCUCGUAGCCUGACCGGUAAGUUCCCCGUGAAAUCGGGUCGCCCAACGAUUCGGCUUGCGGGGAAUACUGUCGGUCUUGGGGCCGGGAGACGCCGAGGGUACUCCGGGGGUAGCGGUGAAAUGCUGUAAUCCUCGGGGGACUACCAGUGGCGAAGGCGCUCGGCGAUAACGGGCCUGACGGUGAGGGGCGAAAGCUGGGGGCGCGAACGGGAUUAGAUACCCGGGUAGUCCCUGUCUCUUAUA